GAUGAACGCUAGCUACAGGCUUAACACAUGCAAGUCGAGGGGAAACGAUAUUGGAAGCUUGCUUCCGAUAGGCGUCGACCGGCGCACGGGUGAGUAACGCGUAUCCAACCUGCCCACCACUUGGGGAUAACCUUGCGAAAGCAAGACUAAUACCCAAUGAUAUCCAUAGAAGACAUCUGAUAUGGAUUAAAGCUUUAUCGGUGAUGGAUGGGGAUGCGUCUGAUUAGCUUGUUGGCGGGGUAACGGCCCACCAAGGCGACGAUCAGUAGGGGUUCUGAGAGGAAGGUCCCCCACAUUGGAACUGAGACACGGUCCAAACUCCUACGGGAGGCAGCAGUGAGGAAUAUUGGUCAAUGGGCGAGAGCCUGAACCAGCCAAGUAGCGUGCAGGAUGACGGCCCUAUGGGUUGUAAACUGCUUUUAUAAGGGAAUAAAGUGGGAGUCGUGACUCCUUUUGCAUGUACUCUAUGAAUAAGGACCGGCUAAUUCCGUGCCAGCAGCAGCCGCGGUAA
rnacentral:rRNA from 1 species